rnacentral:snRNA from 1 species
UUGUUUGCUUCGGCAGCACAUAUACUAAAAUUGGAACGAUACAGAGAAGAUUAACAUGGCCCCUGCACAAGGAUGACACACAAAUUCGUGAAGCGUUCCAUAUUAAA